rfam:Schistosoma curassoni strain Dakar, Senegal genome assembly, scaffold: SCTD_scaffold0000863
GUCCAUCUGAUGAGUCUCAAACAGGACGAAACGCUUGUCCUGUAU